CAAGCUCUCUUUGCCUGCUGCCACCCAUGUAAGACGUGACUUGCUGCUCAUUGCCUUCUGCCGUGAUUGUGAAGCUUCCCCAGCAACGUGGAACAGUUGUCUCUUCACUCUGCUGAUUGUGUAUUUUGCUGUUCAGAAGCUUUUCAGUUUGAUACAGCCUCACUCGCUCAUUCAGGGCCCCCGAGUAGAAUGGGAGAGCUCCAGAUGCAACUGACUAACUGAAGAUGUCACAAAGGCUGAAUCUUCUAUGCUACACUUUGGAUCACUAGAAGGACCAGAGUGUAGUCAACGAUGUGUAAACAACUGAGAAAAACUUUUCUCUGGAAACAACUGUGAUUUUGAAAUUCAGUGGUUUCUUCUUUCUAGCUGAGAAACAUUGAGCAAGUCACUGCAAUAACAUGGAAUCCAGCUGCUUUAUCUGGUGAAUUAGGAUAAUUCAUAGUGUACAACUAGGAUUACAAUUAAUUUAUCAGUUAAUAUUGCUGCAAAGAAAAUCAUUCUAUAAGUUAAUGGCUUAAAACAACGAUUAUUUAAUACACUUUUUCUCUGUGGGUAAACCGUGUGGUUUCUCUAGUCUGGGUUAGUUAGUUUGGGCUUGGAUGACUUAGAAUGUUCUCAGUCACACAUCUCUGGCCUCUGCUGGGGUGUCUGGGAAAGCUGAACUCCUUGUUUUCAUGGGCUGUCACUCCGGGAGUUAGCUUAAGGUUAUACUUAUGAUAGAAAAGUUCCCAGAAGCAAAAGCGAGUCAGCCUUAAUGUGCAAGCACUUCUUAGCAACCUGCUUCCAUUAGGGUUGCUAAAAUCCCGUAGGCUGAAGUAAGUCAUAGGACCAAGCAGAAAUGAGGUGGGAAAAUAAACUCAUUUUCUUCACAGGAGCAGCCUCAAAAAGUUUGUGGUCACAAACUCUUCACUUUUUUUUUUUUUUUUUUUGCAGUUUCCAACAGGGUAGAUUUGAGUAUUAGUGAAAAUGAAUGCAAAGUGUUUGUCAUGUAGUAAGAACUAAAUACAUUUUAUAAUUGUUAAUGUGUUUUACCAGCCAUACUUUUUAUCAUCCUAUGAUUUAACAAACAUGCAUUAAGAAAAUGUGUGGGUAAGGCUGCUUCAAUUAUAAUCACUUGAGUCCUUUAAGGUUCUGCUUAUGUUAUACAGGAUAUAGAAAGUCAUCCCAACAUACUGACUGUCUCAAAUGUAUUUUGUUUUGGAUUUCCCAACUAUAUCACAGCCUGUUACGAACACUUAGUUACAUAAGUACAUUCCAUCUUAUGUCUUCAUUUACUUAUUUCAUGACUUAAGUUUUAUACCAACUCCUCCCUAGUUAGAUUUUAAUCCCGUUGAGUAAAAAGAGGGAUUAUAUUUAUCUGACAUAAUUAGGACUACCUAGUACAGCAUUGGAUCUGAAUUUUAGAUUCUAAACAAGAAUAUUAAUAUCAACUUCCCAACUCUAUUAUAUAUACCACUGCAUUCAAUAUAUACCAAUCUAGUACAGUUAACAUCGUAGGUAGCAUUGUGACAUGAGCCCUCAAAUAGGUAGACAAUCCUGGGAUUGAGUACUGGGUCUAUGAAUAGCUUUGUGACCAUGGACAAUAGUAAGCUUCUCUGAGCUUGUUUUCUGUUAUAGCAAGAAGAAAAAUAUAUUUUAUAAU